UCCUCCCAUCUUGUCACCAGCUACCACCCUUUUCUUACCCCUCUAAACUUCCGCUCCUCUGCUGCAAGAAGAAGUAGAAACCGCUGCCUUCCAAGCUCCAACAGCCUCUCAUCUUCAGCCACUCACACCCAGUCUUCAAGCUUCCAUUUUCAGCUUCCACCUCCACUUCUUGCUGCUGUCCAGAUCGAGCAAGAGGAAGGAGAGGAUCGCUGUUGCUGCUGCUACUCUCGCUGCUCCUGCCGCUACUACUACUGCUGGGUUGUUCGGACCAAGGUGAAGGAGAAAAACCAGCUUCCUAUUUCUUCCUUCCACCAACCACAGAACCAUCUCAAGCUCACCAAACAGAACCCCAGCCCUCUUCAUCUUCAGUCGCUGCUGUGCUGCUGCGGUGACUGGCCAGACCGAGAGGGAAACAGAGAGCAAGAGAGCCGGCUGAUCCUCUGUGGUUCUAGGAGCAACUUGAGGAACUAGACAAUAUAUUUAGCUAGUAAACAACCCACUUGAAGGAGUUGGUGAAGAGCACAAUCUCGAUCAAAGAUUGGAAUUCUAGACACUUCACUUGAGGUUCUGAAACGCAUGAAGUCUUGGAGAACUAGAACAGAAAUGUUAUAUUUUGAAUGCCCACUUUUGUAAUUGUAUUUUUGGAAACGUUAGUAUCUUUUGGAUGAUUUUUGUGUUUUUGGGAAAAUGUGAAUCUUGUGGUGCUUCUGUGCCCUGGAUUAGGAACUUUAAAUUGUAAAUUAAGUUGAAUUUAAGUAUACUAAGCUCGACGUUUUCGUUGAUACUUGGAAUUGUGUUUUGGGCUGUAUAAGUUGAAUUGUAUGAAUUAUUUAAGUACGUGACUUGCUCGAGAA